rnacentral:rRNA from 1 species
CAGUAGCCGCGGUAAUACAGAGGGUGCGAGCGUUAAUCGGAUUUACUGGGCGUAAAGCGUGCGUAGGCGGCUUCUUAAGUCGGAUGUGAAAUCCCUGAGCUUAACUUAGGAAUUGCAUUCGAUACUGGGAAGCUAGAGUAUGGGAGAGGAUGGUAGAAUUCCAGGUGUAGCGGUGAAAUGCGUAGAGAUCUGGAGGAAUACCGAUGGCGAAGGCAGCCAUCUGGCCUAAUACUGACGCUGAGAUACGAAAGCAUGGGGAGCAAACAGGAUUAGAUACCCGAGUAGUCCCUGUCUCUUAUAC